rnacentral:rRNA from 1 species
UACGUAGGGAGCGAGCGUUGUCCGGAUUCAUUGGGCGUAAAGAGCUCGUAGGCGGUUCGGUAAGUCGGGUGUGAAAUCUCCGUGCUCAACACGGAGCGGCCACCUGAUACUGCCGUGACUCGAGUCCGGUAGGGGAGUGUGGAAUUCCCGGUGUAGCGGUGAAAUGCGCAGAUAUCAGGAGGAACACCGGUGGCGAAGGCGGUUCUCUGGGCAUGUCCUGACGCUGAGGAGCGAAAGUGUGGGGAGCGAACAGG